CUUCCUGUCUGAUGCAGAAUUUUUGGAUAUCUUUGGGAAGACAAAGGAUGCAUUCUACCAGAUGCCUGCAUGGAAGCAGCAAAAUGAGAAAAAGCAAUUUGGAUUGUUUUGAACAAAAGGACAGGUUAAAAAAAAUUGAUGGGACUUCGAUCGCUCAGUGGCUUACAUCAAUCUUGGCUGUUUUGACUUCCUGACUCAGAAAGAAGAUGGAUCUUGGAGGAAACUUUCCCUAACUUCAAAUGGACAAUUUAAAAAAAUAAAAUCUUCUUGAAAUCUGUAUGGUCAAUAAUAAUCUUAAUGAAAAUGAUUCCUCAGCUGGAAAAAACAGUACAAAAUUGUUCCAUUAUUUUCACAAGAAAUACAUGAAAGUUUCUCUCAA